AGGACAUAUUUCUUCAGGCUGACAGGGAAGUCAAAGGCUGAUUUGCUUCCAGCAUACCACUUGCUCAGUAUCAUUGUGGGCAAGAAAUGGCUGAGGAGGGACCGUUCGUGUAGCUCAACUACAUCUUCAUCCUUGUUCCUGUGUCUAUAACACCAGCAACGUGGUUAUUCCAGAACUGGAACUUUCUCAUGUUUCAACACAGUAUGGUCAUCAAAACUGUUCUGUGGCUGCUUUUGUCUCCUGAAAGUAAACGAUGGAUCUUGACUUGAAGGUCCUGCAAAUACAAGAGGUACUGCAAGACAUCCUUCUGGGUUCUGUAGUGAAAAGACAACCUCUGCCCCAAAAUACGAAGGAUUUAAUCCAGCAGAAGAGAAGUGGCAUGGAGAAGAAAGGCAGCAUAGGGAGCUGACCACAGGUUCUGGCAGUCUUUAAGAAACACUGAAAAAAUCCCUAUUCAGAAAAACUUUUGUAUCCUAAAAAUGAAGUCCAAGCUCUGACAUCACACCACAUUCAAAGAGACAAAGCAGAUGAAUUGAAUCCCUUGAUUUUCAUGUUCCAUUUAAAAAAGGAACAGCAUCGUUCACAAUGUUCACUGGUCACUUUCAUGUUUCAUGUGAAAAAAACUCUGGUCGUCUACAACUCUAAGAUGGCUACUAAAGAGGCUGGUUGUAGUUUUCUUCCAGGUUCAAUAAAACAAUUUUUAUUGUUUCUGUGA